ACGAGGAGGGGGGGGGGGGGGGGGGGGGGGGCGCUGCGGGCAGCCAGUGACCCCAAGACCCCGAGCCUACAACAGGAGGAACAGAACCACUGAGGCCUUCGGACAAAGUGGUGGAGGAGAGCCGCACUGGGAGAGAGAGAGCACAGAUGUCAAAGCUCAUGGCGGCAGGGAGUUGAACCCUCCAUCUCCUUGUGAUCAAGAGAGUUGAACCGUCCAUCUCUUUGUGAUCCAGGGAGUUGAACCAUCCAUUUCCUUGUGAUCCAGGGAGUUGAACCAUCCAUCUCCUUGUGAUUCAGGGAGUUGACCCGUCCAUCUCCUUGUGAUUCAGCGAGUUGAACCGUCCAUCUCCUUGUGAUUUAGGGAGUUAGGGAAUUGAACCGUCUAUCUUCUUGUGAUUCAGGGAGGUUUUUCAGAUGUUACAGAGCAGGGAGGGCAUGGAUAAUAAAGGGAUGACCCCUCCAAUUAUAACUUUCAGACACAGCAUGAUUUUUUUAUUAAAGUAAGUAGAAACAAGGUUGUCUGUUUGCUUACAUGUUUGAAGAUUGAAAUAACCAUGCACUAAGAACGUGUCAUAAAGGGUUUUGCUGUUUUCUCUUCUAUGUAAUCAAGCACACAAUUGAUUCAUGGCAAAGGAAGAGAGAGGAAAUGUUUGUGGUGUUAUCCCAAAGGAUAUCAAUAAUCAAAAUUUCCUGUUUGCACCUGUUCAGCAAUGUGUGUUAUCACAGACAAUAUUAUCUCUACGUAUGCAGGGUAUGAAAUUACAUUACAAUCGUUCCUCUUUACUGCCAUCAUGUUUCUUGUGGCUUUUUUAAAAUAGUUUGUUUAAUGUGAACAAAACACACAUUUGUUGUUAAGUUCGGUUGUGUUAAAAUUUUCAUGCAAUUUACACGCAAAUAGAGUCAAACUUUAUUGAACAAAACAAUCAAAAUUAGCAGACUCUAAUGGAUUUCUUAAUGAGUUUUUUAUUUUUUAAAUCGGAUGCCAAAGGAAGAUGUUAUUAGAAGAUAAGGUUGGUUGCUAAAGCAUGAUUGUUCACAUCACACAUGUGGUCAGUUGGCUGCGAAGCAGAUCCAUAGAUACCUCAGGUCCAUACCUCAGGUCCUUGGAUACCUCAGUUCCAUACCUCAGGUCUAUACCUCAGGUCAGUACCCCAGGUCCAUACCCCAGGUCCAAACCUCAGGUUCAUGGAUACCUCAGGUCCAUACCUCAGGUCCAUUCCCCAGGUCCAUGGAUGUCUCAGGUCCAUACCCCAGGUCCAUGGAUACAUCAGGUCCAUGGAUAUCUCAGGUCCAUACCCCAGGUCCAUACCUCUGGCCCAUGGUGCAGUGCUGCAUCUCUGGUCAGCUGGUAGUCUGAGAUGAAGCACUGUAGCUCGGGACAGAGGACUGAGCCAGCUGCCUGCUGAAGAGGACGUAUCAGACACCACUGUACCGGAGGACGUAAAAUUAGGAAGAACCACGCAUGUCUAAAGUAGCAAAUGUUUACGGUCAAAUCUGUAUUAAGUGUUCCCAUUAUAAGGUGCCCAGAAAAUGAAGCUUUCAAUAAGAUCUUGUUCCCCUUUCUCCCGGGGUCCAGUUUUCCCAGGAAUCCCUUGUUGAACAUGAAAGCGGGAUUCCUGGAAAUACUGUUCUUGGGGGCGGGGCUUAGCAGCCUUUUAAAAGCACCAUAUAUGCUCUGUGGAGCUAUGGGAAGGAUGAUGUCUUUACUAGAGAAAAUAUCUUACAUAUACUUAUUGUGCUCCUUGUUGCAAGUAUAAACAAUGGAUCACAUUUUUUCUUUGAAUAAAAAAAGGCUUGGAAAAAUU